ensembl:snRNA U2 U2 spliceosomal RNA
AUCGCUUCUUAGCUUUUUGGCUAAGAUCAAGUGUAGCAUCUGUUCUCAUCAGUUUAAACAUAGUAACAAACUACAGUAGGAUUAUUGGUACCUGUGGCUUAGUCACCAAUAGAAAUCAAGAUAAUUUCAUAUAACAUUAUAGUUACCCCAGAUAUCUCAAAAUUUUUGCCCUGAUCACUAUUGCAAAAUUAUGGAAGUUACU